UGGAGCAAUGGGAGUGUGUUAUAAACCAAGGAUUAUGAUCAAUCCAGCUUUGUGUACCUGAGGUCCGAU
rnacentral:snoRNA from 1 species